AUGAGAGGGCUAAAGUUUCAGAAGAUUUCAGUGUGUUCGGCUAAUUACCUUAUGACCUCGAAGAUCAUGUUGAAUGUGGAGAAAUUGAGAGGGUCGGCGGAGAGCGAUCUCCUCUCGGUGAUGCAGACCAGCAUUAUCAGCACCGCGGUGCAGGCUAGUGGUGAAAACAGCAUUUUAUUCAGUGACAGUCUUCUCUUGUUUGCCCCAUCCUUGUGUUCUGUGAUGCCCCUCUUGUCACGUUCAUGCAGUGAGAGAAAUGAUGUCGAGGCUGGAAUGCACCUGAAAAUGUACAGAUACUUGUUAAUUGUUCCUGUGGUUGUUUGCCUGCCAACAAUAACUUAG
rnacentral:rRNA from 1 species